CAAAACAGGCUGUGUUUUGAUUUGGCCUGUGGACCCUAAUUUGCCAACAAUAUGAUCAAAGACCGAGCAGAGAGUUCUCUGAUGCUCGCUGAUGAUGGGGUGAGGAAGUGAACUCAUCCUACCCGGGAGGACACUGAGGCUCAGCGAGGCAAAGUAAUUCACCCAGGAGCACACAGCUCCCACCUGGCAGAGAUGAGAUCGGAAUUCCUCGCCCCCAAAGCAGGUAUUUGGUCACGGCAGGUACAGACAGCAACAUGUCCCAGUGAAGCUGAAGAACAUGGAAAACAGGCUGCCCCUGGCGGCAGGAGCCCCACCCACCCACCUCAGGAAGAAGGGUUACCCGGGGUGCACAGAGGAAUGGAGAAUAGAGCACCCUUUCUGCUCAGGUCUCUCUUUAAAAUACCGGUUUGUACUGCAUCAAGCAAGCGCCUUUCUUCUGUCUUGCCCUGGUAACUUGUGCAUUCUGUUUCCCAUCUCAGCAACGCUGGAGAGCUGACUCCUAGUUCCUGCCUUCUCCCACUUCCCUUCUUCCCAGCUUGCUCCAGCCCUCAUGUUUUUACUCCUAGGGACGAAGCUCCUAUAUGGACCCUACAUAAACUUUAAUUAAAAGAAGCUUCCCAAAUGAGCAAUAUUGUGGCAAGAAAAAAACAUUUAGAACAGAAUUGCUCAGACUUUUGGGUGUCUCUAGCCACCGAUGGUGGGCAAGAAACACAGACCAAAAUAACUCGUUGCCACCCCCGGAGGACACUCGUAAAAUCUAACACCUCAAGCCAGAGAAGCCAUGGAAACACCAGGCAUGAUACAUCCAUACCUGUGGCACAAAUGUCAGAACAGCUACCUGUAUAUUUAAAACUAAUCACCAUGACUACCACAACACAGUUUCCAGUGCUAUCACAAUCCUAUUUCUCACCGCAAAGUAGGGUAGAUGGAGUCACAGGCUGAUUUCCAUGGGCCUUUGAACCUCCAAUUCUUGUAUGUUUCUUUAAGUUUCAUUUUAAGUCUGGUCUUUGCACAGACAGGGGGAAGAAAUCACAGAUAAUUAAAGCAUAAAAUAUUCUCAUUUCAUGGUGGGGCUAACAAGUGAAACUACAAGUAAUGAUGUAAUCCAACUUGUCAAAAAGGAAAAUGAAAAGAGGAGACAGAAGGCAGGACAGAGCCUUGGGACCUGGUGUGCCAUGUCAUCUUCUAAUUAACUAACUGAUCCUUUAAACUGUCAAACUCGGCGAGGAACUCCAUGGCCUGGCAUCUGAUUAAUAUUCAUAUUUGGGCACUGGAUGCUCUGAUUUAGGUCCCAGCGGCUGUAGUUAAACAUCAGUCUUUAAAAAGGAGAGAAAUAAAAACCUGCCUGGUGAA